GAUGAACGCUGGCGGCGUGCCUAAUACAUGCAAGUCGAGCGAACGGACGAGGAGCUUGCUCCUCUGACGUUAGCGGCGGACGGGUGAGUAACACGUGGAUAACCUACCUAUAAGACUGGGAUAACUUCGGGAAACCGGAGCUAAUACCGGAUAAUAUAUUGAACCGCAUGGAUCAAUAGUGAAAGGCGGUUUUGCUGUCACUUAUAGAUGGAUCCGCGCCGCAUUAGCUAGUUGGUAAGGUAACGGCUUACCAAGGCAACGAUGCGUAGCCGACCUGAGAGGGUGAUCGGCCACACUGGAACUGAGACACGGUCCAGACUCCUACGGGAGGCAGCAGUAGGGAAUCUUCCGCAAUGGGCGAAAGCUUGACGGAGCAACGCCGCGUGAGUGAUGAAGGUCUUCGGAUCGUAAAACUCUGUUAUUAGGGAAGAACAAAUGUGUAAGUAACUAUGCACGUCUUGACGGUACCUAAUCAGAAAGCCACGGCUAACUACGUG
rnacentral:rRNA from 1 species